UCACUAACACGAUGGCGACCACAAUCAGGUUCACCAGCAGUGUCGAAUUCCAAUCGACUACAUCCGAACACACAAACGACAAAACACCAUUGAACUUUCCUUUACUUGUCAACAUUGUAUGAAUGAAUAAAGGAGGUUUGUUGCAGUUGCCGUUGCAAGUUCCAUGCAUCGCGUAUAUAAUUCCGAACGCAAUUAUUCGAGCCCGUGCGACAUAAUACAGUUUGUUGAAACGUGACAUGCGAUGACAAAAUCCCGUGAUAGAAAAGAUUCAAAAUCAAUUUGUUGUAUGUACAUAGGAAAUAUAUAAUAUCAAUUCGGAAUUGA